GGGAAAUUGCCCUGAUGUGGGGGAUAACCAUUGGAAACGAUGGCUAAUACCGCAUAAUACCUUCGGGUCAAAGAGGGGGACCUUCGGGCCUCUCGCGUCAGGAUAUGCCCAGGUGGGAUUAGCUAGUUGGUGAGGUAAUGGCUCACCAAGGCGACGAUCCCUAGCUGGUCUGAGAGGAUGAUCAGCCACACUGGAACUGAGACACGGUCCAGACUCCUACGGGAGGCAGCAGUGGGGAAUAUUGCACAAUGGGCGCAAGCCUGAUGCAGCCAUGCCGCGUGUGUGAAGAAGGCCUUCGGGUUGUAAAGCACUUUCAGCAGUGAGGAAGGCGGGUACGUUAAUAGCGUAUUCGUUUGACGUUAGCUGCAGAAGAAGCACCGGCUAACUCCGUGCCAGCAGCCGCGGUAAUACGGAGGGUGCGAGCGUUAAUCGGAAUUACUGGGCGUAAAGCGCAUGCAGGUGGUUCGUUAAGUCAGAUGUGAAAGCCCGGGGCUCAACCUCGGAACUGCAUUUGAAACUGGCGGACUAGAGUACUGUAGAGGGGGGUAGAAUUUCAGGUGUAGCGGUGAAAUGCGUAGAGAUCUGAAGGAAUACCGGUGGCGAAGGCGGCCCCCUGGACAGAUACUGAC
rnacentral:rRNA from 1 species